UACGGAGGGUGCAAGCGUUAAUCGGAAUUACUGGGCGUAAAGCGUGCGCAGGCGGUUUUUUAAGUCUGUUGUGAAAUCCCCGAGCUCAACUUGGGAAUUGCAAUGGAUACUGGCAGGCUGGAGUAUGGUAGAGGAAGGUGGAAUUCCCGGUGUAGCAGUGAAAUGCGUAGAGAUCGGGAGGAACACCAGUGGCGAAGGCGGCCUUCUGGACCAAUACUGACGCUCAUGCACGAAAGCGUGGGGAGCAAACAGG
rnacentral:rRNA from 1 species